rnacentral:snRNA from 1 species
AUAAGCCCAUUGUAAAAAUGCU